UAGGGAAUAUUGGGCAAUGGCGGAGACGCUGACCCAGCCAUGCCGCGUGCAGGAAGAAGGCGCUACGCGUUGUAAACUGCUUUUUUUCGGGAAGAAAAAGCUUCUGCGGAAGUCACUGACGGUACCGAAGGAAUCAGCACCGGCUAACUCCGUGCCAGCAGCCGCGGUAAUACGGAGGGUGCAAGCGUUGUCCGGAUUCAUUGGGUUUAAAGGGUGCGCAGGCGGGCCAUUAAGUCAGGGGUGAAAGACGGUUGCUCAACAAUCGCAGUGCCUUUGAUACUGGUGGUCUUGGGUGACCGUGAGGUAGGCGGAAUGGGUGGUGUAGCGGUGAAAUGCAUAGAUACCACCCAGAACUCCGAUUGCGAAGGCAGCCUACUGGUGGUUUACCGACGCUCAGGCACGAAAGCGUGGGGAUCAAACAG
rnacentral:rRNA from 1 species